rnacentral:rRNA from 1 species
AGAGUUUGAUCAUGGCUCAGGAUGAACGCUGGCGGCGUGCCUAACACAUGCAAGUCGAGCGAUUCUCUUCGGAGAAGAGCGGCGGACGGGUGAGUAACGCGUGGGUAACCUGCCCUGUACACACGGAUAACAUACCGAAAGGUAUGCUAAUACGAGAUAAUAUACUUUUAUCGCAUGGUAAAAGUAUCAAAGCUCCGGCGGUACAGGAUGGACCCGCGUCUGAUUAGCUAGUUGGUAAGGUAACGGCUUACC